rnacentral:tRNA from 1 species
GGUGGCUCAGUGGUAGAGUGCUUGCCCCACAUGCAUGAGGCCCUGGGUUCGAUUCCUCAGCACCA